UACGUAGGGUGCAGGCGUUAAUCGGAAUUACUGGGCGUAAAGCGUGCGCAGGCGGUCUUUUAAGUCAGAUGUGAAAUCCCCGGGCUUAACCUGGGAACUGCGUUUGAAACUGAAAGGCUAGAGUGUGGCAGAGGGGGGUGGAAUUCCACGUGUAGCAGCGAAAUGCGUAGAGAUGUGGAGGAACACCAGUGGCGAAGGCGACUCUUUGGUCUGUAACUGACGCUGAGGCGCGAAAGCGUGGGGAGCAAACAGG
rnacentral:rRNA from 1 species